CUAUCCUGAGAAUCAAGGCUAGAAGUGGGCGCAGGAAAGGACACGCAGUGAAAAUGAAGUACUUUUCUCAUGUUUCCAAUAUAUUGCUACAAGAGUGAAGCCAUCACCCUUGGAUUGCAUGUUAACUUCAGGAGUGUGAAUCACCGGGAGGAAGAUUACACUUUUGGAAACUCAAUACUUUGGAGCAGGCUUUGUUGGUUUAAUCCCUCAGACUGCUUUGUGCAACUCGAAACCUGGAGCUGUUAUCUUUAGCCGGAAUUUCAGCCAUAACGUCCUCAGCUUUCACCCCAUCAUUGAAAUCAGCAUUCACAAUCCUUAACAAAGAUGGACCUUCCUGCGGACCACAGGGCAGCCUCUUAC